UCCCGGAUGUGAUACCCUCAGAGUUUAAAUUGCCCAAAUUUGAGAAAUUAUAAGGUCCAUUUGUCUCAAGAUUCAUCUCAUGGCGUAUGGCAAGAAAAUGGUCAUGUAUGCAUAUGAUGGAAAGUUGUUAAUUCCUUUCUUCCAUGAUAGUUUGAUUGGCAUGGAAAGAUCAUAAAAGGUCCUACCAUGGCGGCAAAUGUGAACAAGUCGGGUCUAAGCAUGGGAGGAGGAGAGAAGAAAGAGCUUAACCAUUUCCCACCACUCAAAUACCAUUUCCUUA
rnacentral:lncRNA from 1 species